rnacentral:tRNA from 1 species
GAAACCAAAAUUAUUCUAGAGGUAUCUUAAUGUUAAUAAGAAAAUUGAUUACU